rnacentral:pre_miRNA from 1 species
UGGUGCAAGAUGGAGAAGCAGGGCACGUGCAUUACCAUCUAACACUUAAAACACUACAUGAAAGUUAAGAGCUAGGUUCUUCAUUAAGUAGUGCACUUCUGAUUGUUAGUUUGGUUCUUCAUGUGCCCUUCUUUUCCACCAUGCCCGU